AGUGAACGCUGGCGGUAGGCCUAACACAUGCAAGUCGAACGGCAGCACAGUAAGAGCUUGCUCUUACGGGUGGCGAGUGGCGGACGGGUGAGGCAUACAUCGGAAUCUACUUUUUCGUGGGGGAUAACGUAGGGAAACUUACGCUAAUACCGCAUACGACCUACGGGUGAAAGCAGGAGAUCUUCGCGCCUUGCGCGACUGAAUUAGCCGAUGUCGGAUUAGCUAGUUGGCGGGGUAAAGGCCCACCAAGGCGACGAUCCGUAGCUGGUCUGAGAGGAUGAUCAGCCACACUGGAACUGAGACACGGUCCAGACUCCUACGGGAGGCAGCAGUGGGGAAUAUUGGACAAUGGGCGAAAGCCUGAUCCAGCAAUACCGCGUGGGUGAAGAAGGCCUUCGGGUUGUAAAGCCCUUUUGUUGGGAAAGAAAAGCAGCAGGUUAAUACCCCGCUGUUCUGACGGUACCCAAAGAAUAAGCACCGGCUAACUUCGUG
rnacentral:rRNA from 1 species